GAUGAACGCUGGCGGCGUGCCCAAUACAUGCAAGUCGAACGCACAGCGAAAGGUGCUUGCACCUUUCAAGUGAGUGGCGAACGGGUGAGUAACACGUGGACAACCUGCCUCAAGGCUGGGGAUAACAUCUGGAAACAGAUGCUAAUACCGAAUAAAACUCAGUGUCGCAUGACACAAAGUUAAAAGGCGCUUUGGCGUCACCUAGAGAUGGAUCCGCGGUGCAUUAGUUAGUUGGUGGGGUAAAGGCCUACCAAGACAAUGAUGCAUAGCCGAGUUGAGAGACUGAUCGGCCACAUUGGGACUGAGACACGGCCCAAACUCCUACGGGAGGCUGCAGUAGGGAAUCUUCCACGAUGGGCGAAAGCCUGAUGGAGCAACGCCGCGUGUGUGAUGAAGGCUUUCGGGUCGUAAAGCACUGUUGUAUGGGAAGAACAGCUAGAAUAGGGAAUGAUUUUAGUUUGACGGUACCAUACCAGAAAGGGACGGCUAAAUACGUGCCAGCCGCCGCAGUAA
rnacentral:rRNA from 1 species